UCCGUCGGACUCCUCGUCGUCCCCGGUGAUCUGGACCUCCUGGAUCUCGUUUUCAUCUUCUUCCUCGUCAUCCUCAUCCUUGCUCCUCUCGGGGCAGCUCAUCCACUCCUGCUUCCCGUCGCCACUGGCCACUGACUGCUUCUGUAUACAGGGACAGGAUAUUUGUGUAACCGAGUCAGUGGUGGAUUGUUACCCAGGAGUUGGCUGGGGGGUUUUGAUGGGAGUGAAGCCAUUCUGAAGAGGAUACCCUGCCAGUACCAACCCCCUGGCCUGUGCAAACCACUAACUGCUUCUUUAUACAGAGUUCCAUGCUCAUCUUUUGAGCAACCAGCAUCCGCCUGAAGGCUCUAAGUAGAGUUGUUGGUAUGGUGCAUGUCAGCACAAAGACUGGUAACAGGUUAGAUAAACAGGCUAACUCUUCCCUUCUAGCGACUAACUUUUGCUUCCUCUGGUCUGCUGUGUUGAAAUGAUAACCAUCAAUACCAAAUUAAAGAGUCAUCAAACCAAAUUGAGCAAAAUAUAUUAAAAAAAUUAAAUUAACGAAAUUACAGGAUAAAACAUGGUUUUACCAUUGGAUUCGUUUUUAACAUACUAUUCUUUUUAUAUAUCCAAAUGUUUCCACAUAAUAAUUUUAUGAUUUAAAUGUCAUAAUUAUGUUAUAAUUUCUCUUUAAUAUUCUAUUGUAAUUGUAAAUAUGAAGCGAUUAAAUAAAAAUAAUGUAAACUUUCAGCAAAAGCUUCCGGUCAUCCUUUAUUUCUCUGUGAGACACACAGAGGCCUAUGGGGGCCCGUGCCUCUGUAGACAUGUCCCUGGCCCCCUCUGUGGCCCCCCCGUGCUGACAAAAUAAAACAAUUAUGAAUUUAUUAUGAUUUCACACGCGAGCGCCAUCGUGCGCCGCUCUAAUUUACCCACGCACCCAAACACUGUGGUGCUGCUGCUCGGUGAAUGAGAGCUCAGCAACAACUCUCGGAGAAAGGAGCUCAGUUUCUCCUGUUGCAAGAGUCGAAGCGGAAGGUAAGCAAAAACGAUUUCAUCUCGUAAGUGACUUUGGACAGAGACAAAACUAAAGAGAGUUUUGGACAGAAAAAUACAGAGUGGUGAAGUUAAAAAGUCAUGCAGUACAGUUGAGCUGUUUUGUUUUAUUGAGCCAUACAGGGAAGUUUUCUUUGAGCUCUUUACACUGUGACAGAUUGCUGUAACCCUUCCUGCUCAGCCUCUUGGGAACACAGUUUCUCCACACUGAAAAAAUAAAUAGGAAAUGGCACAUUGUUGCACCCUUUGUUGAACCCUGGAGUUUUGUUCACAUUGUUGACACACUGUAUUUGUACCCUGUACUGUAUUUUUUAUUUUUCAUUUUGUAUGGCCCUACCUCUCUUGCACUUGCACCCACCCUUGUACAAAACAAAUGUUUAUAUGAUUUUGAUGAUUUAGGGCAUGAAUUCCAUCAAUUGAAGAGAGUUUUGGACAGAAAAAUACAGAGUCGUGAAGUUAAAAACUCUUGUACAAAUUAAAUGUUAACAUGAUUUUAAAGUAAAAUAAAGUUUAUAAUCUUAAAA